rnacentral:rRNA from 1 species
ACUAAGCCAUGCGAGUCAUUGUAGCAAUACAAGGCAUACGGCUCAGUAACGCGUAGUCAACCUACCCUAUGGACGGAAAUAACCUCGGGAAACUGAGAAUAAUAUCCGAUAGAACAUUAUGCCUGGAAUGGUUUAUGUUCCAAAUGAUUUAUCGCCGUAGGAUGGGACUGCGGUCUAUCAGUUUGUUGGUGAGGUAAUGGCCCACCAAGACUAUUACAGGUACGGGCUCUGAGAGGAGUAGCCCGGAGAUGGGUACUGAGACACGGACCCAGGCCCUAUGGGGCGCAGCAGGCGAGAAAACUUUGCAAUGUGCGAAAGCACGACAAGGUUAAUCCGAGUGAUUUCUGCUAAAGAAAUCUUUUGUUAGUCCUAGAAACACUAACGAAUAAGGGGUGGGCAAGUUCUGGUGUCAGCCGCCGCGGUAAAACCAGCACCUCAAGUGGUCAGGAUGAUUAUUGGGCCUAAAGCAUCCGUAGCCGGCUCUGAAGUCCUCGGUUAAAUCUGUACGCUUAACGUACAGGCUGCCGGGAAUACUGCAUAGCUAGGGAGUGGGAGAGGUAGACGGUACUCGGUAGGAAGGGGUAAAAUCCUUUGAUCUAUUGAUGACCACCUGUGGCGAAGGCGGUCUACCAGAACACGUCCGACGGUGAGGGAUGAAAGCUGGGGGAGCAAACCGGAUUAGAUACCCGGGUAGUCCCAGCUGUAAACUAUGCAAACUCAGUGAUGCAUUGGCUUGUGGCCAAUGCAGUGCUGCAGGGAAGCCGUUAAGUUUGCCGCCUGGGAAGUACGUACGCAAGUAUGAAACUUAAAGGAAUUGGCGGGGGAGCACCACAAGGGGUGAAGCCUGCGGUUCAAUUGGAUUCAACGCCGGGAA